rnacentral:rRNA from 1 species
AGCGGCGGACGGGUGAGUAAUACGUGAGAAUCUGCCUUUUAGUGGAGAAUACCUUCGAGAAAUUGAAGUUAAUACUGCAUAAGUCCUUCGGGAGAAAGAUGGCCUCUUUGCUGUCGCUAAAAGAUGAGCUCACGCACUAUCAGCUAGUUGGUGGGGUAAAGGCCUACCAAGGCUAUGACGGUUAGCCGGCCUGAGAGGGUGUACGGCCACACUGGAACUUAGACACGGUCCAGACUCCUACGGGAGGCAGCAGUGGGGAAUAUUGCGCAAUGGGCGAAAGCCUGACGCAGCGACGCCGCGUGGAGGAUGAAGGUCUUCGGAUUGUAAACUUCUGUUAAGUGGGAAGAAAAAUUUACGUUUAAUACACGUAGGCUAUGACGGUACCAUUAGAGAAAGCACCGGCUAACUUCGUGCCAGCAGCCGCGGUAAUACGAAGGGUGCGAGCGUUAUUCGGAAUUAUUGGGCGUAAAGGGUGUGUAGACGGUAUAUUAAGUCUGUUGUUAAAUCUUCUGGCCUAACCAGAAAUCUGCAGUAGAUACUGAUGUGCUAGAGGGUGGAAGAGAGAAGUGGAAUUCUCGGAGUAGCGGUAAAAUGCGUAGAUCUCGAGAGGAACACCAAUGGCGAAGGCAGCUUCUUGGUCCAUACCUGACGUUGAGGCACGAAAGCGUGGGGAGCAAACAGGAUUAGAUACCCUGGUAGUCCACGCUGUAAACGAUGAUCACUAGA